rnacentral:lncRNA from 1 species
GGAGACAGCCGCCAGGCGGCGCCUGGAGCUAGAACUAAAGCGGUGAUCGUUAGCGACCUAGGGGCGGAGGGUUUGAAGGGCCCUUGGCAGGUGGAGGUGGUCUCUAAUUUAAGCAGGGAACGACGCGACCUGCCCCCUUAUUAGGUCGGAAAACCUAGACGUCCAGAGUCUUGCUCUGAGCUCUCAACUGAAGAAGGGGAGAAUUUGCCUACCAGAAGUUAUUUGGCUAAGGCCCACGUGGAAGCUUAAAAAACAGGAGAGCUGAGUAUCUGCAAGAAUUAAUUUGUGCGAUUCCCUCUGAGUAGAAAAGGAACACGGUGUUAUAAGUUUUGCUGAACGAAUAGAUUUAAGGUGUCCCUUUAGCUAAGAGCAAUGUGGUCUAGUUGUGUGUAGCGAGAAAAAAGGGUAAGGUUUUUAAUGGUUUGUCCAAAGUAGCCCCACUUUUAUGUUCCACCCGAGUCUCCGUAGGAAACGCAACCAGUAGUGAAAAUGAACAGAUGUGAAAACCAGGGUGGAACCGAAUAUUCCCAUUCUCAGACCUUUUGUGAUUAAAUUUAUCUCUGAAUUGUUCCCUAUGGACUCUUCUGAAAAUGAAACGUUAUUCUCAUCCC